GAUGAAGAACGUAGCGAAAUGCGAUACUUGGUGUGAAUUGCAGAAUCCCGUGAACCAUCGAGUCUUUGAACGCAAGUUGCGCCCGAAGCCAUUAGUCCGAGGGCACGCCUGCCUGGGCGUCACACGUCGUUGCCCCCCCAUCUACUCCUUCGGGAUUGCGGGGGGCGGAUGAUGGCCUCCCGUGCGCCUCGCCGCGCGGUUGGCAUAAAUGCCAAGUCCUCGGCGACGCACGCCACGACAAUCGGUGGUUGCGAAACCUCGGUUGCCCGUCGUGUGCGGUCGUCGCGCAUCGAGGGCUCGAAAAAAUUGCCGGGUUCCGGCUCGGCUUUCAACGCGACCCCAGGUCAGGCGGGGUUACCCGCUGAAUUUAAGCAUAUCAAUAAGCGGAGGA
rnacentral:misc_RNA from 1 species